UACGAAGGGGGCUAGCGUUGUUCGGAAUUACUGGGCGUAAAGCGCGCGUAGGCGGUGAUCUUUGUCAGAGGUGAAAGCCCGGGGCUCAACUCCGGAAUUGCCUUUGAAACGGGAUCGCUUGAGUCCGAGAGAGGAUGGCGGAAUUCCUAGUGUAGAGGUGAAAUUCGUAGAUAUUAGGAAGAACACCGGUGGCGAAGGCGGCGACCUGGUCCGACACUGACGCUGAGGCGCGAAAGCGUGGGGAGCAAACAGG
rnacentral:rRNA from 1 species